CCUACGGGAGGCAGCAGUGAGGAAUAUUGGUCAAUGGGCGAGAGUCUGAACCAGCCAAGUCGCGUGAAGGAUGAAGGUUCUAUGGUUUGUAAACUUCUUUUAUAAGGGAAUAAAGACAGGAACGUGUCCCCUGUUGUAUGUACCUUAUGAAUAAGCAUCGGCUAACUCCGUGCCAGCAGCCGCGGUAAUACGGAGGAUGCGAGCGUUAUCCGGAUUUAUUGGGGUUAAAGGGUGCGUAGGUGGUUAAUUAAGUCAGCGGUGAAAGUUCGGGGCUCAACCAUAAAAUUGCCGUUGAAACUGGCAGACUUGAGUAUAUUUGAGGUAGGCGGAAUGCGUGGUGUAGCGGUGAAAUGCAUAGAUAUCACGCAGAACUCCGAUUGCGAAGGCAGCUUACUAAACUAUAACUGACACUGAGGCACGAAAGCGUGGGUAUCAAACAGGAUUAGAUACCCGUGUAGUC
rnacentral:rRNA from 1 species